AUACGGAGGAUCCGCGCGUUAUCCGGAUUUAUUGGGUUUAAAGGGUGCGCAGGCGGGAGAUUAAGUCGGCGGUGAAAUUUUUUAGCUCAACUGUAAAAGUGCCUUCGAAACUGGGUUUCUUGAGUAUGGGUGAAGUAGGCGGAAUUUGUGGGGUAGCGGGGAAAUGCAUAGAUAUCACGAGGAACUCCGAUUGCGCAGGCAGCUUACUAAGCCAUAACUGACGCUCAUGCACGAAGGCGUGGGGAUCAAACAGGAUUAGAUACCCUGGUAGUCCACGCAGUAAACGAUGAUUACUCGCUGUUUGCGAUACAAUGUAAGCGGCUAAGCGAAAGCAUUAAGUAAUCCACCUGGGGAGUACGUUCGCAAGAAUGAAACUCAAAUGAAUUGACGGGG
rnacentral:rRNA from 1 species